rnacentral:rRNA from 1 species
UGAUGUCGAUGCCUCCCUUAGCGCGUUGGGAAUACGCAUAUCAACCGCAAGCAGGAACGCCAGAAGCCAAGCUAAGCGAGUUUUUAGUGCCUCGUGAAUGGUGACAGGCAAGGUUCUGAGUGAUAGGGUCGCGCAAGUGACCCUUUUGAUUGUUUAGGCAAGGAUAUGGCUUCUCAAAUCGAUCAGUAUGCCGUUUUUGGUAACCCCAUUAAUCACAGUAAAUCCCCUUUUAUUCAUACGCUGUUUGCACGACAAACUCAGCAGUCCAUGAUCUAUACCGCACAGUGCGUGCCAGUGGAUGGGUUUACUGAGGCGGCGAAACAUUUUUUUGCGCAAGGUGGACGAGGUUGUAAUGUUACCGUGCCAUUUAAAGAGGAGGCGUACCGCUUUGCCGAUCGCUUAACGGAGCGCGCGCGUUUAGCCGGUGCGGUAAACACGUUAAAAAAGCUGGAUGAUGGCGAAAUACUCGGAGACAACACCGAUGGUGAAGGCUUAGUGCAAGAUCUACUCGCGCAGCAAGUGCUACUGAAAGGCGCGACGAUUUUGUUGAUUGGUGCUGGUGGUGCGGCGCGUGGCGUGCUCAAGCCGUUAUUAGAUCAGCAGCCGGCCUCUAUUACCGUCACGAAUCGUACCUUUGCGAAAGCGGAGCAGUUGGCUGAGCUUGUGGCCGCUUAUGGUGAGGUAAAGGCGCAAGCGUUCGAACAGCUUAAACAAAGUUAUGAUGUGAUCAUCAACUCGACCUCUGCCAGUCUCGAUGGCGAAUUGCCUGCGAUUGAUCCGGUGAUCUUUUCAUCUCGCUCCGUCUGCUAUGACAUGAUGUAUGGCAAAGGCUAUACCGUGUUUAAUCAAUGGGCGCGACAACAUGGCUGCGCGCAAGCGAUCGAUGGCUUAGGCAUGUUAGUGGGACAAGCGGCUGAAAGUUUUAUGCUAUGGCGUGGUUUACGUCCGGGCACGAAACAAAUUUUGCGUGAACUGCGUAAAAAUCUAGAAGGUGCGCUAUGAACCAAUCCAUCCUGUUCCCCGAUUUACAGCAUUGGGAUGAGGCAAAACAAGCUGUUGUAUUUUUUGCUCAGCAAAACGGAGCAUUAAUUGAAUGUUUUGUGUCGCGACAAGUUAUUCAAGAGUUCUCAGGUGAAGCUUUAGCGGAGUCGCAACACGUGAUGACGGCAUUCAGUGAGUGGCGUUUUGACCUAGAGGAACUCGCCGAACAGGCGAUUGAAAACGAAAUGUUUAACUCUCUAGGCCAAAUUGAGAUCACUCGCGAACGGUUUUAACGUCAUUCAGAUAGUCAUUCUUACUCUGAACAUAAUUACUGGACGAUUUAACGAGAAAAGCACGCUCCUUAUCAUUGAGAGGACGUGCUUGCUUGACCGGGCUACCCAUGUACAGAAAGCCACUUACGAGCCUUUUCCCGGGCGGAACUAAACUUCCCGCACCGAUCAUGACAUCAUUUUCAAUCACCGCACCAUCCAACACGAUAGACCCCAUGCCGACGAGAACUCGAUCAUGAAUGGCGCAGCCGUGCAGCAUAACCUUAUGGCCAAUGGUCACAUCAUCCCCAAUGCAUAACGGAUACCCAUUCGGGUUUUCGGCAUUUUUGUGAGUGACAUGCAGUACCGAACCAUCUUGAAUAUUGGUGCGUUUACCAAUCCGAAUAUGGUUAACAUCGCCCCGUGCUGCCACUAAAGGCCAAAUACUGGCAUCGUCGCCCAGUUCUAUAUCACCCACAAGCACAGCACUGCUAUCUAUAUAAACCCCUUCACCAAGCUUGGGCACUAUGCCUUUGUAGCUACGAAUUGAACUCAUCAUUUCACCCUUUUAUAAGCAAGUGGUAGGUAUAGUAGAUGGCUUAAUCAUUAACAAAUAGCCUGUUCUGCCUAAAACAUCACCAAGUGCUCGAAAACUUUAAAAAACUUCUAAAAAGUACUUGCCAAUAUAACUAGGUUCUCUAUAAUCCGCCCUCACUGACACGGCAGACGCAGUAAGCGUUAGUAGUGAUUCAGUUCGGUGUUUUAGGUGGCGAAAUCGCCAACGAAAAUAAACUGAAAAAAGUGUUUGACACAACAG